rnacentral:rRNA from 1 species
UACGGGGGGGGCAAGCGUUGUUCGGAAUUACUGGGCGUAAAGGGCGCGUAGGCGGCCUGGCAAGUGGAAGGUGAAAUCCCUCGGCUUAACCGAGGAACUGCCCUCCAAACUGCUUGGCUUGAGUCCGGGAGAGGGAUGCGGAAUUCCAGGUGUAGCGGUGAAAUGCGUAGAUAUCUGGAGGAACACCGGUGGCGAAGGCGGCAUCCUGGACCAUGACUGACGCUGAGGAGCGAAAGCCAGGGGAGCAAACGGG